rnacentral:rRNA from 1 species
AUGAGUUUCUACAGCCUCCACGAGACUCUCCACCAUGAGAUCGCCAAAGUCCAGUCUCAUUUCUACUGGGCAGGCGACAAUGAUAAGCAGAAGUAUCAUAUGGUCAGUUGGCCUGACAUUUGCAAGCCCAGGGAACAAGGAGGCCUUGGCAUUAUGUGCUCUAAGCGCAUGAAUAUCACCCUCCUAUCCCGUUGGCUUUGGCGCAUUUCCCAAGGUCACGGUGGCCUCUGGCUUGGCAUCGUCCCGAACAAAUACCUGCGCGGGCAACCCCUCGCCUUCUGCCAGAGAUCUGGUGGCUCUCAGUUCUAG